ACACAUUAUUCAUUUCCCCCUUGGUGUAGACAACACAGCAGUACACCAGGGCCCCUCUGUCUGCUGGUGAUUGGAGGAGAAAGCAAGCCAUCUAUUGCAGAAACAUGCCAGCGUCUUUUUUUAAUGGAAGAUCAUCUAUGAAAAUAGGAAAACGGAAGAGGAUCUUCUACAAUGCUACUCAAAGCCAAGAAAUAUUUUUAGCAUAGUUAAUAACAGAUCGAGGGAUAAGAUAGUUGAGAAAUUCAUUCUCAAAAGUAUAAAAGGCGUGACUGUGA